UACAGAGGUCUCAAGCGUUGUUCGGAUUCAUUGGGCGUAAAGGGUGCGUAGGCGGCGCGGUAAGUCGGGUGUGAAAUCUCGGAGCUUAACUCCGAAACUGCAUUCGAUACUGCCGUGCUUGAGGACUGGAGAGGAGACUGGAAUUUACGGUGUAGCGGUGAAAUGCGUAGAUAUCGUAAGGAAGACCAGUGGCGAAAGCGAAGUCUCUGGCUAAAUGCUGACGCUGGAGGCACGAAAGCUGGGGGAGCAAACGGG
rnacentral:rRNA from 1 species